GAUGAACGCUAGCGGCAGGCCUAAUACAUGCAAGUCGAACGAUACCGGAGAGCUUGCUUUCCGGGAAAGUGGCGCACGGGUGCGUAACGCGUAUGCAACCUACCUUAAUCAGGGGGAUAGCCUCUCGAAAGAGAGAUUAAACACCGCAUAAAAUCACAGUCCGGCAUCGGAUCAUGAUCAAAUAUUUAUAGGAUUAAGAUGGGCAUGCGUGACAUUAGUUUGUUGUGAGGUAACGGCUCACCAAGACUACGAUGUCUAGGGGAUCUGAGAGGAUGACCCCCCCANACUGGUACUGAGACACGGACCAGACUCUACGGGAGGCAGCAGUAAGGAAUAUGGUCAAUGGAGGCAACUCUGAACCCAGCC
rnacentral:rRNA from 1 species